rnacentral:rRNA from 1 species
UUGAUCCUGCCGGACCCGACUGCUAUCAGAGUGAGAUUAAGCCAUGCGAGUCAACGUAGCAAUACGUGGCACACGGCUCAGUAACACGUAGUCAACAUAACCAAAGGACGUGGAUAAACUCGGGAAACUGAGGCUAAACCGCGAUAGACCAAGAUACCUGGAAUGGUUUUUGAUUAAAAUCUAUAUGGCCUUUGGAUUGGACUGCGACCGAUCAGGCUGUUGGUGAGGUAAUGGCCCACCAAACCUGUAACCGGUACGGGCUCUGAGAGGAGGAGCCCGGAGAUGGGUACUGAGACAAGGGCCCAGGCCCUAUGGGGCGCAGCAGGCGCGAAAACUCUGCAAUAAGCGAAAGCUUGACAGGGUUAUUCUGAGUGAUUUCCGCUAAGGAAAUCCUUUGGCACCUCUAAAAAUGGUGCAGAAUAAGGGGUGGGCAAGCCUGGUGUCAGCCGCCGCGGUAAUACCAGCACCCCGAGUGGUCGGGACGAUUAUUGGGCCUAAAGCAUCCGUAGCCGGUUCUACAAGUCUUCCGUUAAAUCCAUCUGCUUAACAGAUGGGCUGCGGAGGAUACUAUGGAGCUAGGAGGCGGGAGAGGCAAGCGGUACUUAGUGGGUAGGGGUAAAAUCCGUUGAUCCAUUGAAGACCACCAGUGGCGAAGGCGGCUUGCCAGAACGCACUCGACGGUGAGGGAUGAAAGCUGGGGGAGCAAACCGGAUUAGAUACC